rnacentral:rRNA from 1 species
GUUGUUGGGUAGGGGAGCGUUCUGUAAGCCGUUGAAGGUGGCCUGUGAGGGUUGCUGGAGGUAUCAGAAGUGCGAAUGCUGACAUAAGUAACGAUAAAGCGGGUGAAAAGCCCGCUCGCCGGAAGACCAAGGGUUCCUGUCCAACGUUAAUCGGGGCAGGGUGAGUCGACCCCUAAGGCGAGGCCGAAAGGCGUAGUCGAUGGGAAACAGGUUAAUAUUCCUGUACUUGGUGUUACUGCGAAGGGGGGACGGAGAAGGCUAUGUUAGCCGGGCGACGGUUGUCCCGGUUUAAGCAUGUAGGCGGAACGAUUAGGUAAAUCCGGUCGUUUAUUAACGCUGAGGUGUGAUGACGAGGCACUACGGUGCUGAAGUAACAAAUGCCCUGCUUCCAGGAAAAGCCUCUAAGCAUCAGGUAACAUCAAAUCGUACCCCAAACCGACACAGGUGGUCAGGUAGAGAAUACCAAGGCGCUUGAGAGAACUCGGGUGAAGGAACUAGGCAAAAUGGUGCCGUAACUUCGGGAGAAGGCACGCUGAUAUGUAGGUGAAGCCCCUGCGGGUGGAGCUGAAAUCAGUCGAAGAUACCAGCUGGCUGCAACUGUUUAUUAAAAACACAGCACUGUGCAAACACGAAAGUGGACGUAUACGGUGUGACGCCUGCCCGGUGCCGGAAGGUUAAUUGAUGGGGUUAGCGGCAACGCGAAGCUCUUGAUCGAAGCCCCGGUAAACGGCGGCCGUAACUAUAACGGUCCUAAGGUAGCGAAAUUCCUUGUCGGGUAAGUUCCGACCUGCACGAAUGGCGUAAUGAUGGCCAGGCUGUCUCCACCCGAGACUCAGUGAAAUUGAACUCGCUGUGAAGAUGCAGUGUACCCGCGGCAAGACGGAAAGACCCCGUGAACCUUUACUAUAGCUUGACACUGAACACUGGUCCUUGAUGUGUAGGAUAGGUGGGAGGCUUUGAAGUGUGGACGCCAGUCUGCAUGGAGCCGUCCUUGAAAUACCACCCUUUAAUGGCUGGUGUUCUAACGUAGACCCGUAAUCCGGGUUGCGGACAGUGUCUGGUGGGUAGUUUGACUGGGGCGGUCUCCUCCCAAAGAGUAACGGAGGAGCACGAAGGUUAGCUAAUCCUGGUCGGACAUCAGGAGGUUAGUGCAAUGGCAUAAGCUAGCUUGACUGCGAGAGUGACGGCUCGAGCAGGUGCGAAAGCAGGUCAUAGUGAUCCGGUGGUUCUGAAUGGAAGGGCCAUCGCUCAACGGAUAAAAGGUACUCCGGGGAUAACAGGCUGAUACCGCCCAAGAGUUCAUAUCGACGGCGGUGUUUGGCACCUCGAUGUCGGCUCAUCACAUCCUGGGGCUGAAGUAGGUCCCAAGGGUAUGGCUGUUCGCCAUUUAAAGUGGUACGCGAGCUGGGUUUAGAACGUCGUGAGACAGUUCGGUCCCUAUCUGCCGUGGGCGCUGGAGAAUUGAGGGGGGCUGCUCCUAGUACGAGAGGACCGGAGUGGACGCAUCACUGGUGUUCGGGUUGUCAUGCCAAUGGCACUGCCCGGUAGCUAAAUGCGGAAAAGAUAAGUGCUGAAAGCAUCUAAGCACGAAACUUGCCCCGAGAUGAGUUCUCCCUGAGACUUUAAGUCUCCUGAAGGAACGUUGAAGACGACGACGUUGAUAGGUCGGGUGUGUAAGCGCAGCGAUGCGUUGAGCUAACCGAUACUAAUGAACCGUGAGGCUUAACCUU